UACAGAGACCUCAAGCGUUAUCCGGAAUCAUUGGGCGUAAAGCGUACCGAUAGGUGGUUAUGCAAGUCAGAUGUGAAAUCUCCGAGCUCAACUCGGAAUCUGUCAUUUGAAACUGCAUGACUAGAGGGGCAAAGAGGAAGCUGGAACGAACGGUGUAGUAGUGAAAUGCGUUGAUAUCGUUCGGAACACCAAUAGCGAAGGCAGGCUUCUGGGUGCCACCUGACACUGCUAGGACGAAAGCGUGGGGAGCGAAUGGG
rnacentral:rRNA from 1 species